rnacentral:rRNA from 1 species
AAUGAACGCUGGCGGCGGGCCUAACACAUGCAAGUCGAACGGAAGCACUGUACUAGCUUGUGCUUCCAGGUGCCGAGAGGCGGAUGAGUCGCGUAAAUAUCCUUAUCUUGUCUUUAGUAGGCCCUCAAGAAGGGGAUCAUACUCUAAUACAGGUGAUGAUGCACGAUGGAAAGCGUUGGAUCUUACGAGCUUGGGAGAAUGUAUGUCCAUUUGUCGGAUUAGCUAGUUGGCGGGGUAAAGGCCUACCAAGGCGACGAUCCGCUGCUGGACUGAGAGGAUGAUCGGCCACACUGGAACUGAGACACGGUCCAGACUCCUACGGGAGGCAGCAGUGGGGAAUAUUGGACAAUGGGCGCAAGCCUGAUCCAGCCAUGCCGCGUGGGUGAAGAAGGCCUUCGGAUUGUAAAGCCCUUUUGUUGGGGAAGAAAAGCAGUAGGUUAAUACCCCGCUGUUCUGACGGUACCCAAAGAAUAAGCACCGGCUAACUUCGUG